rnacentral:lncRNA from 1 species
UUCACCUCCCAUUCUAUAAAUCAGAAAUCGUCCAUCACCCUAAUUCACCUUGCCGCAGCCACCAUCAUCCAUUCCAGCCAAUUCCCAUCCUUGCCGCAGCCACCAUCCACCUCCAUACACCAUUCUCCACUUCCAUACACCACCCACACACCUUGCCGCACCACCAUAUCAUCCUAACUCCAUUCUCAAACCAAAACCACAUCCAAAAACCCCCAAAACCAUCUCUGCCGCAGCAAGGAGAAGAAGAAAUAGGAGCUUGAAGUCAGAAAUUCAAAGUGGAAGUCUUGAGCGUUUUAGGUGUAAUCUUUCUUAUGUCUUCGAUGUUUCAAUUCAAUAAACUUUAUGUUGUGAGUAUGAGGAACUAAACCCCCUUAGUUGGGGGGUAAUUCGAAACCAUGUACAUGCUUGCAAUAUGAUUUGAUUACAUUCAGUUGUUAUUUCAUAAGUUGUGGAUUCAAUUCGUUCAUCUAUUUGAUUGAUAAUUUAUUUGUGUAUGUUGAUUGAGAGUGCACGCUUAGUUUUCAUGCAUGAAUAUGAUGCUAGAUUAUGAGGGAGUUUCACCUAAUAGUUACAAUCUUAUAAUCACAAGUAGUGAAGGUCGCUUGAAAACGAUCGCGUUGAAUGAAUUCUUAGCAUAAGUUUCAUGCAAUUCAUAGUAACGAAUGCUUCGUCAAUGCUUAUGUUUUUAAUAAAACUUAAUGAUUCGUGCUUGUAUCUCUAUUAUGCAAUUCAUGUAGGGAACUUGUAGGGAAUGUUUUGGGUUGUCGUAUGCAAUCAUCCAACUUGAUAAAUUCUGGAAAAACUGAGGGUUAAUUAGUGCAAUUCACGGUUAAUUCGGGGCAUUGAGUCUUUAUAAUUUAUUGGAAGAACAACUGAAAAUCGUUUUGUUUGCAAGUGUGACAUGUGUGGAGAAGAACCUCCUAACUAGCCUUUUAACCAUUGAUUUCACCAAAAAUCGUUUUUACAAUCUGCCCUAUUUCCAAUCUGUUUUCUUUAUUUUAAUUUUCGUCAAAACAAAUCCCCCUUUAAUUUGAAGUCUUAGAUUAGUUAGAAAGUGUUUUGAUUUGUGUUUCUAAGUAUUUUGAUUCAAGUUUUCACCAAAUUUCGUUCAAAUUAGUGUAGGUGCUCAAAACUGCCCAGAAAGUGGGUUUUAGGCAGUUUUGAGCCUUCUAGUUGCUGUUUUGAGUUUUAGGUUUGUUUAAGUGUUUUAACCUUUACUUUUGCAUUCUUUGAGUCUAAGUUAGUGUUUUAAACUUUGUUUUUGAGUUUCAAGUCAGUUUCCAAGUGUUUAGCAAUCCCUCCUAAUCCCCGGUCUAGAACGAUCCCUACUUACAUCUUUACUACAAUUUGACAAAAAGAGGGUUUAAUUUGUGUGCUUAUCUAUUUCUCAUCACUCACCUAAGUUCAUAGAUGCAUAAUUUGAGUAUGGCAUAACAUUAAUCGAAGCCCCUAAGUCUAACAUGCAUUGUUCAAACUUAGUAUUACCAAUAACGCAUGGAAUUGUAAAACUACCCUGAUCUUUGCAUUUAGGGGGUAAUUUCCUUUGUAACACAGCAGAGACGUUUUCACUUACCUGGACCACCUCUUUGUUCGAAUCCUUCUCCUUGUUGUACAAAGUUCUUUUAAGAACUUAGCAUACCUCGGGACUUGCUUAAUUGCAUCAAGGAGCGGGAUAUUGACUUGAACUUUCCGAAAUGUCUCUAGAAUGUCCUUCUCGGCUUCUUCCUUCUUUGAUUGCCUAAACCUGCCAGGAAAGGGCACAUUCAGUGGAAUAGAACUAGAAAAAGUCGAAUUUGGACUUACCUUGGUGGUUGAGGACGAUUUAGGAGGGUUAGAGGGUGGCGGCAUGGAUUGGUCAUCCUUGGCCGUGGGUUUUGCUCUUGUGCCUCCUCUUGCAUCAACUUGUCCUCCUCGUCUUGACUUGAUUUGGAUAUAUUCGAGUCCGCUCCAACCUGUUUACCACUUCUCAACAUGAUGGCCUUAGCGGUUUCAAAUCCUCCCUUCGGGUUCACAACGGUUGAACUAGGCAAUCUGCCUUGUUCUCUAAUUUGCCCCAUAAACUCUGCAAUUUGAC